rnacentral:rRNA from 1 species
GUGAGGAAUAUUGGGCAAUGGGCGCAAGCCUGACCCAGCAACGCCGCGUGAAGGAAGACGGUUUUCGGAUUGUAAACUUCUUUUAAGAGGGACGAUAAUGACGGUACCUCUUGAAUAAGCCACGGCUAACUACGUGCCAGCAGCCGCGGUAAUACGUAGGUGGCAAGCGUUGUCCGGAUUUACUGGGUGUAAAGGGCGAGUAGGCGGGAUAUCAAGUCAGGUGUGAAAUCCAUGGGCUCAACCCAUGAACUGCACUUGAAACUGAUAUUCUUGAGUGAUGGAGAGGCAGGCGGAAUUCCCGGUGUAGCGGUGGAAUGCGUAGAUAUCGGGAGGAACACCAGUGGCGAAGGCGGCCUGCUGGACAUUAACUGACGCUGAGGAGCGAAAGCGUGGGGAGCAAACAGGAUUAGAAACCCCAGUAGUCC